rnacentral:lncRNA from 1 species
UCUUCUUAGCCCAAAUCUAAACCCAACAAGACAUGGACCCAACCCAAUUUCCUAAAUCCAAGCCCAUUUACCCAUUCCCCUCUUAGAUCCAAAUAAAAUAAAAACCUAGGGACCUAAAUAAGAGGAAGAGAUUUCCCUACACAAAAGGAGGAGAUCGGCCAAUUUCCUAAGGUUAAAAAAAUGGCAGCCUUCUCUUUAGCUGGAAGAGGAACGCAGAAACAGAGAGAGUCUUCAGUUGUUCACCCUUCAGCCCUCUCUCUCUCUCGAGUGAUUUUUGGCACCACUGCUGCCCGCCGGAGUUGGUCGCCGGGGAUGACUAGAACAACCAUGUAAUCUUCCAUCAAUUUCACUCUAACAGAUCCACACAGAACAACCAUGAAAUUGCUCAAAAAUGCACCCCAAAACAGCCUCGUCUCCAACCCAGUUCCACCAUUGUUUCAGAUGCUAACCACUAGCUAAAACGUCCAUCCAAAACCAGCUUAUUCCACCCUUAAACCCAGCCAAAUAUCAUCACAAAACCCACUUAAAAAUACCUCAAAACAGUCUCGUUUUCACAAAAGCAAAUAGCAGCGUCAAAAGUUGAGAUCGAAGGCGCCGUUCGCAAGCUUGGUCGCGGUCCAAUUUUCUGCCAAAGUUUCGUCGUCGACUUCUCGAUCUUUAUUCCAUUCCUCAGCUUCCUUGUUAAAUAUUUGUCUUGGAGAUUUUUAUUAAAUACAAAAGGUCCUUCCCUUUUCUCUUUACAAAGUCACUUAUGCAUUUUAAAAUGAAUUUUCUGAUUAGUUCUUAUUUGAUGUGCUUUAUUUAUUGAUUGUGUUUGUAUGCUUUGAGUUCCGUUACUUUGCUUCUAUUUGAUGUGGAUAUUCAUUCCACUGUUCUCAUGAAUUUGGAAGAAUUGUCUAAUGCUAAAGCAUGGGGUUAUAUGAAUUUCUAAUUGAUUAAGUAGCGUUGGGAUUUAAUAACUAAAAAUGUGAAAUUGGGCUGUUCGUUUAGGAAUAAGUAGAAACGAAGUCAUCAGUUGGUUCCAAAGUUAAAGAUUUAGUUCUUUCAUAUACAUAUAGUUUUAGUGUCCUUUAAUAUAAUUUUGACAAGGCCCAAAAUAAUAAAGUAACAAGAUGGCCUAUUUCUCUUUAAUAAAUAUGUUUCCAUAAAAUGAUCCACAUACGUUAGAAUGAUUUAGGAGUCACUUAAUCUAUUAUUGUGAUUGUCUACACGUCCGCGUUACAUAAUUAUGAUUCUAAAAAAAUGAAUCAAGGUAUGCGUUCUCGCAAUUUCGGCCAAACUUUGUUAAUAAUAAUAAAGCGUGAUUAAUUGUGAACACGUACGCGUGACAUAAUUCUUGACACGCCAAACGAAAUGAGUACACGUAUGCUUGACUCGUUUCAGGUUAAUUUCUUAAUUAAAAGCGGUUAAGGGCGUAGAUGCACAAAGGUUUAAAAAAUAAGUAAUUAAACAAUUUAAUUAGUCAGGUAUGAUUAAAGCGAUCGUGCUAAAACCACGGAACUUGGGAAUGCCUAACACCUUCUCCCGGGUUAACAGAAUUCUACCCGAAUUUCUGUGUUUCGCAGACCAUAAAAUAGAGUCAAACUUUCUCGAUUCGGAAUUUUAAACCGGUGACUUGGGACACCAUAAAUUAUCCCAAGUGGCGACUCUGAAUUUGAUAUAAAUAAUCAUGUUUCGAUUAUUGUCACUUUAAUUGGAAAAACUCCCUUGUAUCCCCUUUCGGGGUAGAAAGAGGAGGUGUGACAGCUCUGGUGACUCUGCAGGGGACAAGAACCCAGAAUCUCUGGUUCAGGGUUCAAGAAUUCGAGCUUGUGUUGUGAUUUUUACUUGGCUUUAUUUAUUGUUCAUAUUACCGUAUUUGUGGACCUAAUGUGCUAACUACUGCUUAUUUACCACUUUGAUAGUAUUUGAAUUGUAUUAAACUGUCUUCUUAUGCCUACCAUCUGAGUCUUCUAAAAAAUGGUGCACACAUUCGCGUGACCCACUUUUCUGUUAGAAGUUAUACCAAAUAGAGCGAGGCUGGGCCAGCAACAAGGCCGGGUAGACUUUCGUGCUCCCGGUACGUUGCCCCCAUCUCGGUUCGAGCUGUCCGCUCGGGUAAGCCAGGUCUAGAACACAACCCCAGGUUUAAACCUAGAAUAACAUAACCUCAUGUCGGAUCCCUAGUAGGAACGUUUUUUUGCAUCACGUGCAUUUGACUUAAGGGACUCAACACAGGGGUUGGGUCCAUCUAGGACAUGUGUACCCAAAAAAUAAAAGACUAUCCUGAUGCAUCCUAUGUGCUAUAUGUCACAUUUUUUCAAGGGUAAAAGGGUCAUUUGGCGGACCAAUGAUGUUUGAGGGUAAAUGAGAUAGAAAAAAGGGUGAAGUGUGAAAAUGAAGCCAGUAGGGCCUAGUUGUAUUUUUCUUUCACAUUUUUUUCCAAGAAAAAGACCAAAAAAAAUGAAAAUAAAAAAUCCAAAAAAAAGGGAAAAGAAAAUCCAAAAAGAGUUUACAUGCUUCAUCAUUUUUCAAGAAAAACAAAAAAUAUAUUUUCUUCAAAUCAGUUAUUUUUUUUAAUUCUCGCCCGUAUCCAAUCUUCCCGAACUACGCAUACUUGAUUCUCGUCUUUCGGGGGGGAGGGGGGGGGGGUGGAUACGUAAGCAACCCACAUAGGGUUCGGUCUUCUUAGUGAGUCUUAGGUUCUUGGCUUCGCGGGGUCGUAGCCAAAUCUUGCAUGUCUAGCCACUUUUGGCCACGCAAGUUGUUUUGCCAAAAUAGCCUCAAUCAUGUCUUGCGUGUCUAACAGGAAGUGUUAUUGACUCACAUAGUAUUCUAGGUCUUUAACUUUAUUUGGUCUUAAUUUUCUCAUACAGGUGUGGAUCUACUUACUGGAGUUUGAGCAUGACAGAUACCUCGGGACCAUCCAGUCAGGAUAGCCCAUUCAGGAGUUGCUUAAGGAGAUUUUUUUUUUAUGUUUUGAGUCUGUUUUUCUUUUUAUGUCGUCUUUUACCUUCUAGUUUUGUACAUAAUGUUGAGUCUUUUAGGUGACGUUAGAGUCUGUCAUAGUCUAGCUAAGUUUGUCGAGUCUUUUGUUAUUGUACUUCCU